rnacentral:rRNA from 1 species
AUACAGAGGGUGCAAGCGUUAUUCGGAAUUACUGGGCGUAAAGCGCGCGUAGGCGGAUGAUUAAGUCAGUUGUGAAAGCCCUGGGCUCAACCUAGGAACUGCAUCUGAUACUGGUCGUCUAGAGUUUAAGAGAGGGAAGUGGAAUUCCAGGUGUAGCAGUGAAAUGCGUAGAUAUCUGGAGGAACAUCAGCGGCGAAGGCGACUUCCUGGCUUAAAACUGACACUGAGGUGCGAAAGCGUGGGUAGCGAACGGGAUUAGAUACCCUAGUAGUCC